GGAAAUGAGUUUGGGCAGGCCUUGGUAAAAGCUCUGAUGCUCAGUUCAUGAGACGAUAACUAUGAUUAAACUGAUAAUCUCAAACUGUACAACAUUUCCAAGAUGCUGCAGAACCUGCCGAGUAUUUCCAGUAUUCUGCAUUUUUGUUCUUCUUGGCUCAAAAGAGAUGUUAAAAUAAGGAAAGAAUUUGAUAAGGGAUUUCAACACUACCAGGAAGUGCUGCAGAAUGAACAGAAAAUGCUGGCAAUGGAGAAUUGAUGAUCAUCUGCCAUCAGUAUUUUAAAACCACCCAUGCAAUGCACUCAUCUUAAAUUCCUAUGUGUUUAUGUGUCAGUGGAAUAAACCAAAUCAUACUAAA